rnacentral:rRNA from 1 species
UCGCAAGAUUAAAGGUCAAAGGAAUUGUCGGGUAUCCGCACAAGCGCGUGGAUGAUGUGGAUUAAUUCGAUGCAACGCGAAAAACCUUACGUACCCUUGACAUGUCACUAACGUAGUAAAGAUACAUUAGGUGCUCAUAAGAGAAAGUGAACACAGGUGUGCAGGGCGGUCGUCAGCCGUGACAAAAGGACUGGGGUUAAGUCCCGCAUCGACAGCAACCCUUCACUUUAGGUUCUACGCAUGACCACUUUACAGAGAUUCCCCGUGACAACCUGCAGGAAGAGUGGGAUGAGGUCAUGUCUUCAAGGCCGUUUUGUGUUCGUCUUCACCCGUCAUACAAUGGUGCAUACAGAGGGUUUUCAACCCACGAGGAGGAUAUAAUCUCAGAAAAUGCAUUGUACUCGGGAUGGUAGUCGAUAACUCGCUUACGUGAACCGGGAAUCUCUGGUAAUAGCAGAUCAUAAUGUGGCUUAGAAUACGUUCCCGGGUCUUGUACACACCGCCCGUCAUACCAUGGGAGUGGGUCUUGCCAGAAACCCUUAGCCUAACCGCAAGGAGGG